UACGAAGGGGGCUAGCGUUACUCGGAAUCACUGGGCGUAAAGGGUGCGUAGGCGGGUCUUUAAGUCAGGGGUGAAAUCCUGGAGCUCAACUCCAGAACUGCCUUUGAUACUGAGGAUCUUGAGUUCGGAGAGGUGAGUGGAACUGCGAGUGUAGAGGUGAAAUUCGUAGAUAUUCGCAAGAACACCAGUGGCGAAGGCGGCUCACUGGCCCGUAACUGACGCUGAGGCACGAAAGCGUGGGAGCAACAG
rnacentral:rRNA from 1 species